AGCCAAUCGCGCGCCCCCGGCCCACGUGCCGCGUGGCGAGGAGCUGCGCGCUCGCGGAGGGAGCCACGGGAAGGGGGAAAAAGGAGCAAAAAGGAGGAAAAAGGAGCAAAAAGGAGGAAAAAGGAGCAAAAAGGAGGGAGCAGUCGUGCGGGCGAGAUGGCGGUGGCUGGGUGUUCGUGCUGAGACCGAAACUGCACACGAUAGUCAAGGUGAGGCUGCACCAGUGCAGAGCAGAGCGGGAAUGGCUGCUUAGCCCCUGGCUGCUGGGCUGUUUUAAAUGGACUGGCCCUUUGACACCAUUCAGUGUGAAUGUAGAAUGAGUUGAACUCAAUGAAGCCCUUUCCACCUCUCCCACCCAGAAGGCAUGAUGGAGGCUUUCUGACAACUCCUACAAACUCUCCUUUCUGCAAACUCUCCUUUCCAACGAACUUGAGUAGCUUUUUUUUCCUGCUAGUUCAGAAUCUGAAAUAUUUUUCCAUUCUGCAGGUAACAAGUUAUCCAGCUGUAAGCGCAGUGUCCAUACCAAAUGUGAGUGUCCAUGGAGAAAUGGAGAAAUCCAGCCCUUCACAGGCAGCAAAUUGUUCACAAUCACUAGAAAGAGUGUACUUCUACUUACUGUGACACAAAUUAGGAACUUCCCUGAAGUUAGAGAUGCUCCAACAUUGGUGAAACCAAUCUUGGAGAUCUUGGUGAAAGAACUGCCACUGCAGGGAUUUCACAUCAUUAGUUUUACUUCUAAUGAAAAGGUUAAUGAUCCACUUACUGUCUAGACAAUUGUAUGGACACAGAAGGAACUGAGUUAGGUUCUGAAGAGAAUGAACAAAUUCCUAUACUUAGUGGUUAAGCAUUUUCAAAUAAACGGAAUUUUUGGAGCUUCUCACAGGUAAAAUUUUGAAGAUGGCCAGCCACAAGGACUUCCAUAAAAAGAAGGAGUGCUUAUUGAAAUACAGCAAAAGGUAUGGAAAGAGAUAAAUGAUUGUUGCAAAAUUAGUAAUUUUCAAUUAAAAAACCCCAAACAACUCCAAGGGUACAAGGGUUUUCAUGUAAUUAUCUUAUAAAUGGCCUUCAAAGAGGACUUUUGCUUCAGGACCCUUGCCAGCAGGAGCUCUGCAAGAGGCUGGAAUUUCAGUGAGGAAUGGCAUACUGUGGCACAAUAGCAGCGCAUCUGUUGUGAAUGGCAGCUGCUGCACAGCACUGAGCAUUGUGCAUGUCUCACUGUUUACAGACAACUGUUUUGUAUGUUAUCUGUUUUCUGGAGCCACCAGUGAAAUGUAUUGCAUGAGGUUUUCUUAGUAGAAUCACGAUGUAUGUUUCAGAUACUAGUUUUAAAGUAGUAUAGUUAGACAAGUGUAUUAAAAUAUCCCAGAGUUCUUAAAGUGUUGGCUAAACACUGAGGAUUACCAUAUAAAGAAACAUUAAGACUUCCUCAUCAGACAGUGAGUUACUAUGCUGAUGAACUAAGAGCAAUGUGUAGUCUGUAAUACUGAAACUUAAACAUUUAAGUCCUGGUUGUGGCAUAUAAAAAUCUUUCCUCUAAAUGUGAAAUGGAUGAGUUAAUUCCAUUCAUCAUUGCAAGAUGUUGAAAAUUGCAGGGUUUAUUUUGUUUUAAAUCAUGAUGCUUCUAAGGAAGUUGAAGAAGUGAGCUGUUAGAGGAACUAGUAUAGAGAUUCUCACUACAACAGAGAAAGCAGAAAAGAAAUAUUUGGAAAGUAGUUUCAGCUGACCCCUUUGAUAAGACUAAGUUGCGUGACAUAUCUGAUGUGGAAGCAGAAAUUAUACAGCAAUAGGAAGUUGUUAUCUCCAUAUCUCAAAUGCUAACACAGUUCCCCCAGUCAACUGUGAGGCAGAUCUACUCUUGUUAUGACAGCUGUUGGAAACUGAUGUCAGUAUAACUGUGCAAUGUCUUUUGAUAGUCUUAACUAUUACAAACCUUAAAAUAUGUUUAUGAUGUUAUCUAAGACACAUUAUUUGGAAAUGGCUCUAUUUCUAAUCAGAAAUUGCUCAAGUUAUUUUAAUAAAUAAAUUAUAAACUUGCGAGUUUCCUAGUCAGAUUUGCUUGAAAAAGCAUUGUGAACUUUUUGUUUCUGAAGACUUAAGACUGAGGAUUAAUUAAUGUUUAUACAGCACUUUGUAAAAGCAAAGUCACAAGUGCCAAGAAUUAUUACUAUUUAAUCUUUAAAAAUCAGAUCAGUGACAGACUAAACUGUCAGAGAACUGCUGUUUAAAGCAACAAAAAUGCUGAAAAUCCUCUUCUUCCCCCAUACUUAAAUAUGUCCAAGUGUGCUUUCAUUUCAACCUCUCUUACAUAAAGACAAGCAAAGAUACUUUUCAGUUUAAAUGGGUUAACGCCCAUCUUUGUUUAAAUACGUGAGGAUAUUACCUAAAAUCCUAGGGACAUUUUACAAAAUGAAAAAAUUAUUUGUUUCUGAAAUGCAUUUCCAGGGCCCAAAUGUUGCAAAUAUUUUUAUAUGCAAAUCCUACUCAGCAGUGUAAUAUAUCUGAUUAACCAGUGCUACUUCUGCGCACAACUUCACCUAUUUGUGUGAUGGGUCAGAUCCUUGUAGUGAUAGUUAAUUUGUAUUAGACUUGCAUAGCUAUUUUGACUUCUGAGAAAAAAGAAUCUUUACAUAAUUUUUUAAAAUUUGCUUCUCUUUUUACUUUACACCAAACAGAGGUAAGGUUUAGAAACCAUUUUCCUCAAGAAAUAAAUGUACAUAUUGGAAAACAAGCAACAAGAAAGAGGAGACUGGAAAAGUAGAGAAGCUCAUCAGUGAAAUAUAGAAUUAAUGGAUAAAGUCAUCUUUUCAGGGUUACAGAAACAUGUUUUAGUGCAUCAUUAUUAUUUAGGGAGAAAUACUGCAUUUUGCUUUGGCUAUACCUUAAAUGAUAUUCUUCCUUAACAGCCAUACAUAUAUUAUUCAUGCGAUGCUAAUUACUUUCCUUAUAACGUAAUUGACUUGUUAAGUAAGAGUAUGAAUUAAUUGGUGGCAUUGAAAACUAAAUGAUACCAAGUCAGGCCUAGUUAAUCUGUGUCUGGCUUUUUAUCUCUUGAUAUUUAGUAAAUUUAAAAUUUAUAUAUACAAAUUUAUUUAGAAAAAACAAAUUUCACAGACUGACUAAUGAAAGCUGUUUACAUUUAUCUGGAAGUCUUGAUAACUUGAUCUUACUCAGAUGCAAGCAAACUGUUAAAAUUUGGGUUUGCAUGUUACCAUGGUGCAUACUGAAAUAUGAACAUCUUGAGGGUCCUAUGGACUGAUAAACCUCUCAAAGAAUAGUUUUCAAACAAUGCUUAGCACCUAUCAGUUAUGCCUAAUUUUAGUUGCAAGUUGUUAAUAAACAAGUUAAGAUUUAUGUACACUUAAAUUUAGACUCAAGAAUAUAUGUCAGUAUUUCAGAAGAUCUCACUAGCCACCAUUAAGACUAGAUCUUCAAAGAGCUCAGUGUCUGGAAUGUUAAACUUCUUUGCAAGUCUGGUCCCAAUUAUGGGUUCUAAGUUCUUCUGAAAAUCUAAAUUAUAUUUAAAUACCUACAGAAGAAACUUGAGUCUUAUUUUAACAGUCUGACUCCAGCUGCAGGCACAGAACACUCAUGGAUUUGGCCCAAAUUCACACCCUUUAAAACUACAAAUGUAUAGUGAAUAAUCCUAAAUCUUCUAAUGAUUGUUCCUUUAUAAUCAAUUUCUGGAGUACAUAUCUUAAAAUUUCUUAAACACAGUACAUUUUCAUAAAUAUGAAUUUGAGGAAGAGAAUACAAAACACCAUGAGUGGAAAUCGCAUCACUAAACUGCAGGAAAACUUUUAUGAAGUUCAGUAAAACCAGGUGUUUUCUCUAGACAAACCCAAGAUUUCUUUUAAUAUAUUUAUUAAAAUGCCUUAGAGGAAAUCUCUAUCAUCAGGUUAAAAUGUUGCUUUUAUUUUCAAGAUUUCUUUUCAUAUGGUACAGUUGAACUAUCAUCUCUUCAAAAAUAAAACUAUUUCCUUUUGCGUAUAAGGAUGUUAUGUUUAUAAAUUUAUUUCUAGUAAGUUGUGAAAGCUGAGACUUUUUUUUCCUCUCAAGUAUGAAACUAUUAGGCUUAAAAGUGUUGCUUGAAGAAGUCACAUUUUAAUAAGUGCACUGAGAGCAAACAAAGUAUUACAGUGUGUAGGAAAUAUGGUUGGUCUUUCCUUAGAAAAUAAAUACACCCCUUAGACAUGUAAUACUUGUAUUCAAAUAUAAAAUUAGAAAACUAUAGACAGUAAGAAUGAGCAGUGUACAGCAAAAUCUUAUGUACCCCCAAAGCACUGAAAAUUUUUUUUGAUUUUGCUUCAGUUUUCAGUUGUCUAUGUAUUCUAGAUAGUCCAUUCUCAAUAUAGUUCUGUCUAAGAGUUGCAAAUAAAAUGCCACAUAAAUUAUAUAAAA